rnacentral:rRNA from 1 species
UACGUAGGGUGCGAGCGUUAAUCGGAAUUACUGGGCGUAAAGCGUGCGCAGGCGGUUCGCCAAGUCAGGUGUGAAGUCCCCGGGCUUAACCUGGGAAUUGCGCUUGAAACUAGCGGGCUUGAGUGUGGCAGAGGGGGGUGGAAUUCCACGUGUAGCAGUGAAAUGCGUAGAGAUGUGGAGGAACACCGAUGGCGAAGGCAGCCCCCUGGGUCAACACUGACGCUCAUGCACGAAAGCGUAGGGAGCAAACAGG